GCGCUCGCCUCGGCAGCACGUAUAUUAAAAUUGGAACAACAUAGAGAAGAUUAGCAUGGCCCCUGCACAAGGAUGACACGCACAUUUGUGAUGCAGUCCAUAUUUUU
rnacentral:snRNA from 1 species